CGUCGGAUUUGUAAGGUGUUAGUGUCCUGUGAGGUGAGCGGGGCGAUGAGGGCGCCUAUCCAAGUGGAAGCUGGUGGCGCAGGCCGAGAUUAUUUCAAAACGGGCGGCCUCGCCGCUGCAGGAGACUGCUGCCUGGCGAGCUUUGUGUGCAAUUCGUACGAACGAAGGGGAGCGGUUUAGUGCUUGAAAAAACCUUCAAGUGCAUUCAGUGAGAAUGCUUAGUUUUAAACAUCGGCGCCCAGCAGGACAAUGGCGCUGUCUUUCAGCCGUAUGUCGGAGCAGUUAUGUGGAGAUAUUAAGAUGCAUGAGAAAGUUCCAAAAACAGCUGGGAGAAUAUUUAAUGGAACAUCAUUUGGUUAAAACCUGACUAUCUUAACCAGCAUUCUGGAUGUUGAAUAAUGAAGCUGUAGAUGUCAGGUGUCAGUGCCAAGCAGCUUCCUUUUGAAUGAGGGUCGCUGUCUGCCCGUUGAAAGAGGCCACCUUGUUGUGAAAUCCCUACAUUGCAACAAUUUCUGACCAGUACCAUGGAGUUUGCUGGUCUUUUAUGUGAAAAGCUGGUGAUAACAAAGACAUCCGGGGAAAGCUCUUCAUUUUAUGAAUAUGAAAGGGAAACAUACAAUGUUGGAUUAUUGAUUUUUUUUUUUAAUUUUGUAAAUUGUGAAUUUUUUAUGGAAAAUUCUUUGCUUUUAGCUAACCAGUCUUAUAAUUGAAUUAUUCUAAAUGGAUAUUUCACCAUUUAGUCACACUUUUGAACUAAAAUGUAAAAUUAUGAUUAAAACAGUGAAAUUUUGCA